GAUGAACGCUAGCGGCAGGCUUAACACAUGCAAGUCGAGGGGUAUAGGUUUUCGGACCUAGAGACCGGCGCACGGGUGCGUAACGCGUAUGCAAUCUACCUUUCACAGAGGGAUAGCCCAGAGAAAUUUGGAUUAAUACCUCAUAGUAUAGCAGUUUCGCAUGAAACCACUAUUAAAGUUCCAACGGUGAAAGAUGAGCAUGCGUCCCAUUAGCUAGAUGGUAAGGUAACGGCUUACCAUGGCUACGAUGGGUAGGGGUCCUGAGAGGGAGAUCCCCCACACUGGUACUGAGACACGGACCAGACUCCUACGGGAGGCAGCAGUGAGGAAUAUUGGUCAAUGGACGCAAGUUUGAACCAGCCAUGCCGCGUGCGGGAUGACGGUCCUAUGGAUUGUAAACUGCUUUUGUACGAGAAGAAACAACAUUACGUGUAAUGUCUUGACGGUAUCGUAAGAAUAAGGAUCGGCUAACUCCGUGCCAGCCGCCGCAGUAACAC
rnacentral:rRNA from 1 species